GAUGAACGCUGGCGGCGUGCCUAAUACAUGCAAGUCGAGCGAACAGACGAGGAGCUUGCUCCUCUGACGUUAGCGGCGGACGGGUGAGUAACACGUGGAUAACCUACCUAUAAGACUGGGAUAACUUCGGGAAACCGGAGCUAAUACCGGAUAAUAUAUUAAACCGCAUGGUUCAAUAGUGAAAGACGGUUUUGCUGUCACUUAUAGAUGGAUCCGCGCCGCAUUAGCUAGUUGGUAAGGUAACGGCUUACCAAGGCGACGAUGCGUAGCCGACCUGAGAGGGUGAUCGGCCACACUGGAACUGAGACACGGUCCAGACUCCUACGGGGGGCAGCAGUAGGGAAUCUUCCGCAAUGGGCGAAAGCCUGACGGAGCAACGCCGCGUGAGUGAUGAAGGUCUUCGGAUCGUAAAACUCUGUUAUUAGGGAAGAACAAAUGUGUAAGUAACUAUGCACGUCUUGACGGUACCUAAUCAGAAAGCCACGGCUAACUACGUG
rnacentral:rRNA from 1 species